rnacentral:miRNA from 3 species
UACCCGUAGCUCCUAUCCAUGUU